AUGAAAGUUCAGCUGGUGGGGGGCCCUGGCAACAGCAACGUUUCGCUGUGCGGUGUAGGCUACGGUGGCAGCACCAUUUUAAUUUAUGUGUUUCUACUACUGCCAACAGAGGAGAAGAAUGGCCAGCACCGAGCUACUACUGCUACUGCUUGUUUUUGCUUGCACAGCCAAUUUGGGCGUUACCAGGAACAUGACAAAGCGAGAAAAUUAUGGAGUGAUAGAGAUAAAAGAGUAGUGUGCCUACGUGGUGUGGAUAUGAAACGUGUGGUGUGUGAGAGGAUAAGGAAUGUGUGUUACUAUUCAGUGAUAAAAUAA
rnacentral:rRNA from 1 species